rnacentral:rRNA from 1 species
GGCGAACGGGUGAGUAACACGUGAGCAACCUGCCCUGGACUCUGGGAUAAGCGCUGGAAACGGCGUCUAAUACUGGAUACGAGACGUGGCCGCAUGGUCAACGUUUGGAAAGAUUUUUCGGUCUGGGAUGGGCUCGCGGCCUAUCAGCUUGUUGGUGAGGUAAUGGCUCACCAAGGCGUCGACGGGUAGCCGGCCUGAGAGGGUGACCGGCCACACUGGGACUGAGACACGGCCCAAACUCCUACGGGAGGCAGCAGUGGGGAAUAUUGCACAAUGGGCGGAAGCCUGAUGCAGCAACGCCGCGUGAGGGAUGACGGCCUUCGGGUUGUAAACCUCUUUUAGCAGGGAAGAAGCGUGAGUGACGGUACCUGCAGAAAAAGCGCCGGCUAACUACGUGCCAGCACCCGCGGUAAUACGUAGGGCGCAAGCGUUAUCCGGAAUUAUUGGGCGUAAAGAGCUCGUAGGCGGUUUGUCGCGUCUGCUGUGAAAUCCCGAGGCUCAACCUCGGGCCUGCAGUGGGUACGGGCAGACUAGAGUGCGGUAGGGGAGAUUGGAAUUCCUGGUGUAGCGGUGGAAUGCGCAGAUAUCAGGAGGAACACCGAUGGCGAAGGCAGAUCUCUGGGCCGUAACUGACGCUGAGGAGCGAAAGGGUGGGGAGCAAACAGGCUUAGAUACCCUGGUAGUCCACCCCGUAAACGUUGGGAACUAGUUGUGGGGUCCUUUCCACGGAUUCCGUGACGCAGCUAACGCAUUAAGUUCCCCGCCUGGGGAGUACGGCCGCAAGGCUAAAACUCAAAGGAAUUGACGGGGACCCGCACAAGCGGCGGAGCAUGCGGAUUAAUUCGAUGCAACGCGAAGAACCUUACCAAGGCUUGACAUACACGAGAACGGGCCAGAAAUGGUC